GAUGAACGCUAGCGGCAGGCCUAACACAUGCAAGUCGAGGGGUAACGUGAGUGCUUGCACUUGACGACGACCGGCGCACAGGUGCGGAACGCGUAUGGAACCUACCUUUAUCAGGGGGAUAGCCCAUGGAAACGUGGAUUAAUACCCCAUAGUAUUAUUUCAUUGCAUGAUGAUUUAAUUAAAGAAUUUCGGAUAGAGAUGGCCAUGCGUAUCAUUAGCUAGUAGGCGAGGUAACGGCUCACCUAGGCGACGAUGAUUAGGGGUCCUGAGAGGGAGAUCCCCCACACUGGUACUGAGACACGGACCAGACUCCUACGGGAGGCAGCAGUGAGGAAUAUUGGGCAAUGGAGGCAACUCUGACCCAGCCAUUGCCCCGCGUGCAGGAAGACGGCCCUAUGGGUUGUAAACUGCUUUUAUACAGGAAGAACACCACCCACGUGUGGGUGACUGACGGUACUGUAAGAAUAAGGACCGGCUAACUCCGUG
rnacentral:rRNA from 1 species